rnacentral:rRNA from 1 species
UACAGAGGCCUCGAGCGUUAGGCGGAAUCACUGGGCUUAAAGCGUGUGUAGGCGGACUUCUAAGUACCUUGUGAAAUCCCACAGCUUAACUGUGGAACUGCUUGGUAUGCUGGUUGUCUUGAGGUACCUAGGGGCGAGCGGAACAAGUGGUGGAGCGGUGAAAUGCGUAGAUAUCACUUGGAACGCCAACGGUGAAAACAGCUCGCUGGGGGUAUCCUGACGCUGAGACACGAAAGCCAGGGGAGCAAACGGG